CUUGCUCCCUGGGUGACGAGCGGCGGACGGGUGAGUAAUGUCUGGGAAACUGCCUGAUGGAGGGGGAUAACUACUGGAAACGGUAGCUAAUACCGCAUAACGUCGCAAGACCAAAGAGGGGGACCUUCGGGCCUCUUGCCAUCAGAUGUGCCCAGAUGGGAUUAGCUAGUAGGUGGGGUAAUGGCUCACCUAGGCGACGAUCCCUAGCUGGUCUGAGAGGAUGACCAGCCACACUGGAACUGAGACACGGUCCAGACUCCUACGGGAGGCAGCAGUGGGGAAUAUUGCACAAUGGGCGCAAGCCUGAUGCAGCCAUGCCGCGUGUGUGAAGAAGGCCUUCGGGUUGUAAAGCACUUUCAGCGAGGAGGAAGGUGGUGAACUUAAUACGUUCAUCAAUUGACGUUACUCGCAGAAGAAGCACCGGCUAACUCCGUGCCAGCAGCCGCGGUAAUACGGAGGGUGCAAGCGUUUAAUCGGAAUUACUGGGCGUAAAGCGCACGCAGGCGGUUUGUUAAGUCAGAUGUGAAAUCCCCGGGCUCAACCUGGGAACUGCAUUUGAAACUGGCAAGCUAGAGUCUCGUAGAGGGGGGUAGAAUUCCAGGUGUAGCGGUGAAAUGCGUAGAGAUCUGGAGGAAUACCGGUGGCGAAGGCGGCCCCCUGGACGAAGACUGACGCUCAGGUGCGAAAGCGUGGGGAGCAAACAGGAUUAGAUACCCUGGUAGUCCACGCUGUAAACGAUGUCGAUUUGGAGGUUGUGCCCUUGAGGCGUGGCUUCCGGAGCUAACGCGUUAAAUCGACCGCCUGGGGAGUACGGCCGCAAGGUUAAAACUCAAAUGAAUUGACGGGGGCCCGCACAAGCGGUGGAGCAUGUGGUUUAAUUCGAUGCAACGCGAAGAACCUUACCUACUCUUGACAUCCAGAGAACUUUCCAGAGAUGGAUUGGUGCCUUCGGGAACUCUGAGACAGGUGCUGCAUGGCUGUCGUCAGCUCGUGUUGUGAAAUGUUGGGUUAAGUCCCGCAACGAGCGCAACCCUUAUCCUUUGUUGCCAGCGGUUCGGCCGGGAACUCAAAGGAGACUGCCAGUGAUAAACUGGAGGAAGGUGGGGAUGACGUCAAGUCAUCAUGGCCCUUACGAGUAGGGCUACACACGUGCUACAAUGGCAUAUACAAAGAGAAGCGACCUCGCGAGAGCAAGCGGACCUCAUAAAGUAUGUCGUAGUCCGGAUUGGAGUCUGCAACUCGACUCCAUGAAGUCGGAAUCGCUAGUAAUCGUAGAUCAGAAUGCUACGGUGAAUACGUUCCCGGGCCUUGUACACACCGCCCGUCACACCAUGGGAGUGGGUUGCAAAAGAAGUAGGUAGCUUAACCUUCGGGAGGGCGCUUACCACUUUGUGA
rnacentral:rRNA from 1 species